ensembl:snRNA U6 U6 spliceosomal RNA
GUGCUCACUUCGGUAGCACAUAUACUAAAAUUGGAAUGAUACAGAGAAGAUUAGCAUGGCCCCUGCGCAAGGAUAACAUGUAAAAAUGAUUUACUCCUUACAAACUC